rnacentral:rRNA from 1 species
GUCGAACGGAAAGGCCCCUUCGGGGGUACUCGAGUGGCGAACGGGUGAGUAACACGUGGGCAAUCUGCCCUGCACUUCGGGAUAAGCCUGGGAAACUGGGUCUAAUACCGGAUAGGACCUUUAGGCGCAUGUCUUUAGGUGGAAAGCUUUUGCGGUGUGGGAUGGGCCCGCGGCCUAUCAGCUUGUUGGUGGGGUGAUGGCCUACCAAGGCGACGACGGGUAGCCGGCCUGAGAGGGUGUCCGGCCACACUGGGACUGAGAUACGGCCCAGACUCCUACGGGAGGCAGCAGUGGGGAAUAUUGCACAAUGGGCGCAAGCCUGAUGCAGCGACGCCGCGUGGGGGAUGGCGGCCUUCGGGUUGUAAACCUCUUUCACCAUCGACGAAGGUCCGGGUUUUCUCGGAUUGACGGUAGGUGGAGAAGAAGCACCGGCCAACUACGUGCCAGCAGCCGCGGUAAUACGUAGGGUGCGAGCGUUGUCCGGAAUUACUGGGCGUAAAGAGCUCGUAGGUGGUUUGUCGCGUUGUUCGUGAAAUCUCACGGCUUAACUGUGAGCGUGCGGGCGAUACGGGCAGACUAGAGUACUGCAGGGGAGACUGGAAUUCCUGGUGUAGCGGUGGAAUGCGCAGAUAUCAGGAGGAACACCGGUGGCGAAGGCGGGUCUCUGGGCAGUAACUGACGCUGAGGAGCGAAAGCGUGGGGAGCGAACAGG